AUUGAACGCUGGCGGCAGGCCUAACACAUGCAAGUCGAACGCGUGGCGGACGGGUGAGUAAUGUCUGGAAAACUGCCUGAUGGAGGGAGAUAACUACUGAACACGGUAGCUAAUACCGCAUACCAGCAUGUGUGCCCAGAUGGGAUUAGCUAGUUGGUGGGGUAGCGGCUCACCAAGGCGACGAUCCCUAGCUGGUCUGAGAGGAUGACCAGCCACAUUGGAACUGAGACACGGUCCAGACUCCUACGGGAGGCAGCAGUGGGGAAUAUUGCACAAUGGGCGCAAGCCUGAUGCAGCCAUGCCGCGUGUAUGAAGAAGGCCUUCGGGUUGUAAAGUACUUUCAGUGGGGAGGCGUUACCCGCAGAAGAAGCACCGGCUAACUCCGUGCCAGCCGCCGCGGUAAUAC
rnacentral:rRNA from 1 species